UGGGGAAUUUUGUAUAAUGGGGGAAACCCUGAUUCAGCCAUCCCGCGUGUGCGAUGAAGGCCUUCGGGUUGUAAAGCACCUUUGGCAGGAAAGAAACGUCAUGGGUUAAUACCCCGUGAAACUGACGGUACCUGCAGAAUAAGCACCGGCUAACUACGUGCCAGCAGCCGCGGUAAUACGUAGGGUGCAAGCGUUAAUCGGAAUUACUGGGCGUAAAGCGUGCGCAGGCGGUUCGGAAAGAAAGAUGUGAAAUCCCAGAGCUCAACUUUGGAACUGCAUUUUUAACUACCGGGCUAGAGUGUGUCAGAGGGAGGUGGAAUUCCGCGUGUAGCAGUGGAAUGCGUAGAUAUGCGGAGGAACACCGAUGGCGAAGGCAGCCUCCUGGGAUAACACUGACGCUCAUGCACGAAAGCGUGGGGAGCAAACAGG
rnacentral:rRNA from 1 species